GAUGAACGUUGGCGGCGUGCCUAAUACAUGCAAGUCGAACGAAGACUGUAGUAAUACUGUCUUAGUGGCGAACGGGUGAGUAACGCGUGGGUGACCUGCCCCGAAGUGUGGGAUAACAGUUCGAAAGGAUUGCUAAUACUGCAUAAUAUCCAAGAGAUUAGACGCUUUUGGAUUAAAGGAGUAAUUCGCUUCGGGAGGGGCCCGCGUCCCAUCAGCUAGUUGGUAAGGUAAUGGCUUACCAAGGCGAUGACGGGUAGGGGACCUGAGAGGGUGGCCCCCCACAAUGGAACUGAAACACGGUCCAUACACCUACGGGUGGCAGCAGUAGGGAAUAUUAGUAAUGGGCGAAAGCCUGAACUAGCAACGCCGCGUGUGCGAAGAAGGCCUUCGGUUGUAAAGCACUUUUGUAGAGGAUGAGGAAGGACGGUACUCUCAGAAUAAGUCUCGGCUAACUACGUGCCAGCAGCCGCGGUAAAAUAAGCGUACU
rnacentral:rRNA from 1 species